ACCGCGCUGCUGGCUACUCUCUGUGGCUAUCUGAAAAUAGCCACGGGUAGCAAUGUGUAUUAUCAAUCUCUAUUAGAACCGGAGUACAUUUCAGUCAUCCGGCCAUUUUUGUAAGCAAUUUCAAGUGAAGAUAUUACUGCGUGAUGUCGUGGCAUGCCCAUUUGUUUUUUUGGAUGAGCAGCAGAGCAUGGAACAAAGCCACCUCGCAUCACCCAGCAUGCACUCCUCUGCUAGGCUGUCACCGUGGGGCACUUUUCUUCACCGGUUCCACCGACAGGAAACGCGGGGGCCGGGGCCGAGAGAGAGGCACGCAGACUUUCUCUCCCAAUUAACACCCGAAAAGGCGGGAAGGCGAGAUCGCCGAUGCUUGCGCGAGGGCCGCCCGCCACCUUCCACGAGCCCCGAGAAGCGGCAGACGCGGAGAAAUACACGACCCAACGCACGCACCUCAAAAACAACCACCGUGACUUUGGAAGCACAUUCUAUUCCUCAGGGCUUGGAAUGCAGCGAGUCUUUUGACAAUAAUGAAAGAAUGAAAGACAGCCCAGCAACAGAAGCUGAAGAGUAUAGGUCUCCUUACACCUUUAUUACAGGUAUAGAAACCUUGCUCAAGCUGACGCCCGUAUGUCCGUGGAACAUCCGUAUACUCUCGCACGAGCCGGGAUUCAGGCCUGAGAGACAAAAGGCCGUGGAGAGGGGGCGUCGGAGGAGGCGACGGCUUCAAAAGAAACAGGUACCUCCUUCGGCUCCCUCCGGGCCAGGCCGCCCAUCCACACCCAGCCCGGGACGGAACAUAAUCUUACCUAAAAUAGACGGGUUAAAAAUAGCCUAGCCCGGGAGCCAAAGGGGCAGCCCCUCUGCUCCCCUUGGGCGAAUGAGGACCCUCUCGAUCGGGAUGGCCCUCAGGAGACCCUGCCCUGCUGGGAGAGGCUCCUUGGCUUCUGACGAGGCCUAAAGAUUUUGCUAUUCUUGUGGAGACCUCCAAGUUGAGGACAGAACUGACCACAUGUGAAUCCUCUAAGAUCUACCCAGGCUGCUCGAAUCUACUGCGAUUUCCCGAGUCUUCUACUGAAUGCAUCUGACCUGACCGUUUGUUGUGUCUGGGCUGGAUAAACAAACCACUAUCUGUCACCUCUUGCCUUGUGUGUUUUGUGGGGUUGGGAAUG